rnacentral:rRNA from 1 species
UACGAAGGGGCUAGCGUUGCUCGGAAUCACUGGGCGUAAAGCGCACGUAGGCGGAUUGUUAAGUCAGGGGUGAAAUCCUGGAGCUCAACUCCAGAACUGCCUUUGAUACUGACGGUCUUGAGUUCGGGAGAGGUGAGUGGAACUGCGAGUGUAGAGGUGAAAUUCGUAGAUAUUCGCAAGAACACCAGUGGCGAAGGCGGACUCACUGGCCCGAUACUGACGCUGAGGUGCGAAAGCGUGGG